GGGGCUUUGGCGCAGUUGGUAGCGCGUUUCCAUGGCAUGGAAAAGGUCAGGGGUUCGAAUCCCCUAAGCUCCA
rnacentral:tRNA from 12 species